GAAGCAAGACACCAGGACAUCCUGAGAAUUUCGAGACUCCUGGAAUUGAAGUCACUACUGGUUUGAGAUUUUGCUUCUUUUGGCUUAUGGUUCAUGUGAAAUUUCACAGAAACUAUCUAUAACUGUAUUUACAAUUGUGCUCUCUGCUUUGGCUGCUAUGCAGGUCCUCUUGGACAAGGAAUCGCUAAUGCUGUUGGUUUAGCUCUUGCUGAGAAGCAUUUGGCUGCUAGAUUCAACAAACCUGAUGCUGAAGUAGUCGACCACUACACGUAAUAUAUAUAACCCAUAGUUAUGUUGUCGUUCUUGGUUUGUAUAUAGCUCUGAUAAUAGAAAUACUGUUUUUGAUUGAUUGUCUAGAUAUGCGAUCCUUGGAGAUGGUUGUCAGAUGGAGGGUAUUUCUAAUGAAGCUUGCUCUCUAGCUGGCCAUUGGGGACUUGGAAAGCUCAUUGCUUUCUACGAUGACAAUCACAUUUCUAUAGAUGGAGACACAGAAAUUGCCUUCACUGAGAACGUGGACCAGCGAUUUGAAGCCCUUGGAUGGCAUGUUAUCUGGGUGAAGAAUGGAAACACUGGGUAUGACGAGAUCCGUGCUGCCAUUAAGGAAGCUAAAACUGUUACUGACAAGCCUACUUUGAUCAAGGUAACUACACAAUUUCUUAACCAUCAAACAUCGGUUGGUCUAAAGACCUUUGAUAUUGAUUUACCAUAUUGCGUAAUCCAGGUCACUACUACCAUUGGUUAUGGGUCUCCCAACAAGGCGAACUCAUACAGUGUCCAUGGAGCUGCACUUGGCGAGAAGGAAGUUGAGGCUACCAGAAAUAACCUUGGAUGGCCGUAUGAGCCGUUCCAGGUACCUGACGAUGUAAAAAGGUUAGUAAAUCCAAAGCAGGCUUAUGUUUGGUUUUAUUGCUUUGAAGUUGCCUUGAUGACUUACUGUUUGACUUGCACUUCUCUAGCCACUGGAGUCGUCAUACACCUGAAGGAGCUACUCUUGAAUCUGACUGGAGUGCAAAGUUUGCAGCAUAUGAAAAGAAGUACCCAGAGGAAGCUUCUGAGUUGAAAUCUAUUAUCACUGGUGAAUUACCUGCUGGCUGGGAGAAGGCUCUACCUGUAAGUAGAACUCUCUUUGCAUUCUGUACAAUUCAAUUGGUAUUCUAGAUAUGAGUUAUAGAACAUCUUUCUUUUUCCUUUUUUAGACAUACACACCAGAGUCUCCAGGUGAUGCCACCAGAAACCUGUCACAGCAAUGUCUUAACGCCCUUGCUAAAGUUGUUCCCGGUUUCCUUGGUGGAAGUGCUGACCUUGCAUCAUCCAACAUGACAUUGCUGAAAGCCUUUGGCGACUUCCAAAAGGCCACACCUGAAGAAAGAAAUCUUAGGUUUGGUGUUAGGGAGCACGGAAUGGGAGCCAUCUGCAAUGG
rnacentral:lncRNA from 1 species